AGUGAACGCUGGCGGUAGGCCUAACACAUGCAAGUCGAACGGCAGCACAGGAGAGCUUGCUCUCUGGGUGGCGAGUGGCGGACGGGUGAGGAAUACAUCGGAAUCUACUCUGUCGUGGGGGAUAACGUAGGGAAACUUACGCUAAUACCGCAUACGACCUACGGGUGAAAGCAGGGGAUCUUCGGACAUUGCGCGAUUGAAUGAGCCGAUGUCGGAUUAGCUAGUUGGCGGGGUAAAGGCCCACCAAGGCGACGAUCCGUAGCUGGUCUGAGAGGAUGAUCAGCCACACUGGAACUGAGACACGGUCCAGACUCCUACGGGAGGCAGCAGUGGGGAAUAUUGGACAAUGGGCGCAAGCCUGAUCCAGCCAUACCGCGUGGGUGAAGAAGGCCUUCGGGUUGUAAAGCCCUUUUGUUGGGAAAGAAAUCCAGCCGGCUAAUACCUGGUUGGGAUGACGGUACCCAAAGAAUAAGCACCGGCUAACUUCGUGCCAGCAGCCGCCGUAAUAC
rnacentral:rRNA from 1 species